GACGAACGCUGGCGGCGUGCUUAACACAUGCAAGUCGAACGGAAAGGCCUCUUUCGGGGGGUACUCGAGUGGCGAACGGGUGAGUAACACGUGAGUAACCUGCCCUUGACUUUGGGAUAACUUCAGGAAACUGGGGCUAAUACCGGAUAGGAGCUCCUGCUGCAUGGUGGGGGUUGGAAAGUUUCGGCGGUUGGGGAUGGACUCGCGGCUUAUCAGCUUGUUGGUGGGGUAGUGGCUUACCUAGGCUUUGACGGGUAGCCGGCCUGAGAGGGUGACCGGCCACAUUGGGACUGAGAUACGGCCCAGACUCCUACGGGGGGCAGCAGUGGGGAAUAUUGCACAAUGGGUGGAAGCCUGAUGCAGCAACGCCGUGUGCGGGAUGACGGCCUUCGGGUUGUAAACCGCUUUCGCUCAUGACGAAGCUUUGUGUGACGGUAGUGGGUAAAGAAGCACCGGCUAACUACGUG
rnacentral:rRNA from 1 species